GAAAUGCGAUAAGUAGUGUGAAUUGCAGAAUUCAGUGAAUCAUCGAAUCUUUGAACGCACAUUGCGCCCUUUGGUAUUCCUUAGGGCAUGCCUGUUCGAGCGUCAUCUAAACCUUCAAGCCCGCUUGGUGUUGGGUGCCUGUCCCGCCUCCGCGCGCGGACUCACCUCAAAUCCAUUGGCGGCCCCCGCGUCGGCCACGAGCGCAGCAGAAACGCGAACUCGUGAGCCCGUCCGGGCGGCUCCCAGAAGCUACACCCACCCAGUUUGACCUCGGAUCAGGUAGGGAUACCCGCUGAACUUAAGC
rnacentral:misc_RNA from 1 species